rnacentral:rRNA from 1 species
AGCAGCCGCGGUAAUUCCAGCUCCAAUAGCGUAUAUUAAAGUUGUUGCAGUUAAAAGCUCGUAGUUGAAUUUCGGGGUCAGUAGGUUGGUCAUGCCACUGGUAUGUACUGGUCUCACUGAUUCCUCCUUCCUGAUGAACUGUAAUGCCAUUAAUUUGGUGUUGCAGGGAAUCUGGACUGUUACUUUGAAAAAGUUAGAGUGUUUAAAGCAGGCUAACGCCUGAAUACAUUAGCAUGGAAUAAUGAAAUAGGACGUUCGAUCCUAUUUUGUUGGUUUCUAGGAUUGACGUAAUGAUUAAUAGGUUCAGUCGGGGGUGUCAGUAUUCCGUUGUCAGAGGUGAAAUUCUUGGAUUUACGGAAGACUAACUACUGCGAAAGCAUUCACCAAGGAUGUUUUCAUUAAUCAGUGAACGAAAGUUAGGGGAUCGAAGACGAUCAGAUACCGUCGUAGUCUUAACCAUAAACUAUGCCGACUAGGGAUCGGGCGAUGUUAUCUUUUUGACUCGCUCGGCACCUUACGAGAAAUCAAAGUG